CCCUUAGAUGUUCUGGGCCGCACGCGCGCUACACUGACGGAGCCAACGAGUAUUUUCCUUGUCCGGAAGGACUGGGUAAUCUUGUGAAACUUUGUCGUGCUGGGGAUAGAGCAUUGUAAUUAUUGCUCUUCAACGAGGAAUUCCUAGUAAGCGUGAGUCAUCAGCUCGCGUUGAUUACGUCCCUGCCCUUUGUACACACCGCCCGUCGCACCUACCGAUUGAAUGGUCCGGUGAAAUCUCGGGAUUGUGGCCAGUUCACUUUAUUGGGAGUUGGCUGCGAGAACUUGCUUAAACCUUAUCAUUUAGAGGAAGGUGAAGUCGUAACA
rnacentral:rRNA from 1 species